GGCUCCGUAGCUCAGCUGGAUAGAGCGGCUCCGUCCUAAGGAGCGGGUCGGGAGUUCGAAUCUCUCCGGAGUCG
rnacentral:tRNA from 1 species